GACGAACGCUGGCGGCGUGCCUAAUACAUGCAAGUUGAGCGAUGAAGCUUGGUGCUUGCGCCAAUUUGAAGAGCAGCGAACGGGUGAGUAACGCGUGGGGAAUCUGCCUUUGAGCGGGGGACAACAUUUGGAAACGAAUGCUAAUACCGCAUAAUAACUUUAAACAUAAGUUUUAAGUUUGAAAGAUGCAAUUGCAUCACUCAAAGAUGAUCCCGCGUUGUAUUGGCUAGUUGGUGAGGUAAAGGCUCACCAAGGCGAUGAUACAUAGCCGACCUGAGAGGGGGAUCGGCCACAUUGGGACUGAGACACGGCCCAAACUCCUACGGGAGGCAGCAGGAGGGAAUCUUCGGCAAUGGACGAAAGUCUGACCGAGCAACGCCGCGGGAGUGAAGAAGGUUGUCGGAUCGUAAAACUCUGUUGGUAGAGAAGAACGUUGGUGAGAGUGGAAAGCUCAUCAAGUGACGGUAACUACCCAGAAAGGGACGGCUAACUACGUG
rnacentral:rRNA from 1 species